GAUAAACGCUGGCGGCGCACAUAAGACAUGCAAGUCGAACGAACUUAACUCAUUCUUUUAGUUUGAGAGCGGUUAGUGGCGGACUGGUGAGUAACACGUAAGCAACCUGCCUAUCAGAGGGGAAUAACAGUGAGAAAUCACUGCUAAUACCGCAUAUGCUCACAGUACCACAUGGUACAGUGAGGAAAGGAGCAAUCCGCUGAUAGAUGGGCUUGCGUCUGAUUAGCUAGUUGGUGGGGUAACGGCCUACCAAGGCAACGAUCAGUAGCCGGACUGAGAGGUUGAACGGCCACAUUGGGACUGAGAUACGGCCCAGACUCCUACGGGAGGCAGCAGUCGGGAAUAUUGCGCAAUGGAGGAAACUCUGACGCAGUGACGCCGCGUAUAGGAAGAAGGUUUUCGGAUUGUAAACUAUUGUCGUUAGGGAAGAUAAAAGACUGUACCUAAGGAGGAAGCCCCGGCUAACUAUGUGCCAGCAGCCGCGGUAAUACAUAGGGGGCAAGCGUUAUCCGGAAUUAUUGGGUGUAAAGGGUGCGUAGACGGAGAAACAAGUUGGUUGUGAAAUCCCUCGGCUCAACCGAGGAACUGCAACCAAAACUAUUUCCCUUGAGUGUCGGAGAGGAAAGUGGAAUUCCUAGUGUAGCGGUGAAAUGCGUAGAUAUUAGGAGGAACACCAGUGGCGAAGGCGACUUUCUGGACGAUAACUGACGUUGAGGCACGAAAGUGUGGGGAGCAAACAGGAUUAGAUACCCUGGUAGUCCACACUGUAAACGAUGGAUACUAGGUGUAGGGUGUAUUAAGCAUUCUGUGCCGCCGCUAACGCAUUAAGUAUCCCACCUGGGGAGUACGACCGCAAGGUUGAAACUCAAAGGAAUUGACGGGGGCCCGCACAAGCAGUGGAGUAUGUGGUUUAAUUCGAAGCAACGCGAAGAACCUUACCAGGGCUUGACAUAUACCGGAAUAAUCUAGAGAUAGAUUAGUCCUUCGGGACUGGUAUACAGGUGGUGCAUGGUUGUCGUCAGCUCGUGUCGUGAGAUGUUGGGUUAAGUCCCGCAACGAGCGCAACCCCUAUCGUUAGUUGCCAGCGCGUAAUGGCGGGAACUCUAGCGAGACUGCCGGUGAUAAAUCGGAGGAAGGUGGGGAUGACGUCAAAUCAUCAUGCCCUUUAUGUCCUGGGCUACACACGUACUACAAUGGCCGUAACAGAGGGAAGCAAUAUAGUGAUAUGGAGCAAAACCCAAAAAGCGGUCUCAGUUCGGAUUGAAGGCUGAAAUUCGCCUUCAUGAAGCUGGAAUUGCUAGUAAUGGCAGGUCAGCAUACUGCCGUGAAUACGUUCCCGGGCCUUGUACACACCGCCCGUCACACCAUGAGAGUUGGAAAUACCCGAAGCCUGUGAGCUAACUGUAAAGAGGCAGCAGUCGAAGGUAGAGCCAAUGAUUGGGGUGAAGUCGUAACAAGGUAGCCGUAUCGGAAGGUGCGGCUGGAUCACCUCCUUUCUAAGGAGAACUAAUCUCUUAAAAUAUUUAUUGUUUAUUUUUCAAUGUACUUUAACAGGUACAUUGAGUUAGAUAUAUGACUUACCUGCAUAUGGGGGUAUAGCUCAGUUUGGCUAGAGCGCCUGCCUUGCAAGCAGGAGGUCAGGAGUUCGACUCUCCUUACCUCCACCAAUAGGUAAGGAAUUAUCUAAUAAAUAGCACAUUGAAAAAUAUAUAGAUAAAUGCGAAAAAAAAUUGUAGAAGCUGUUUUAUAGCAAAAUAUCAUACUUUGAUGAUUAGAAGUAAUUGUUAAAGUGAGAUUAAAACUAUGAAAUAGUUUUGAAGGUAAAACUAGCAUACUUUUAUAAGUAUGUAAAACAAUUAAACCGAAAUGAAGACAAAUAAAAUUUGUAAACAUUUUUGAUUAACCGUAAAUUAAUUUUGCACAGUAUGAACAAGUUUUAAAAACGAAGUUAAUACGAAGCAAAAAAGGUUAAGCUACUAAGAGCAUAAGGUGAAUGACUUGGCACCAAGAGCCGAAGAAAGACGUGAUAAGCUGCGAUAAGCAACGGGGAGAAGCAAAUAUUUUAUGAUCCGUUGAUUUCUGAAUGGGGAAACCCAACUAGAGAAAAAAGUCUAGUUACCCAUACAUGAGUAAAGUAGUGUAUGAGGAGGGAACGUAGGGAACUGAAACAUCUUAGUACCUACAGGAAAAGAAAGAAAAAUCGAUUCCUUGAGUAGUGGCGAGCGAAAGAGGAAGAGCCCAAACCUAGAGUAGUAAUACUUUAGGGGUUCGGACUACAUAAUUGAUUUAGCGAGUUUAGCAGAACUGCUUGGAAAGGCAGACCAAAGAUAGUGAAAGUCUAGUAUGCGAAAAAUAAGCUAACAUGGUAGUAUCCAGAGUAGUGCAAGACACGUGGAAUCUUGUAUGAAAGAGCGGGGACCAUCCCGUAAGGCUAAAUACUACUUGGUGACCGAUAGUGGAGA
rnacentral:rRNA from 1 species